rnacentral:rRNA from 2 species
AAAUAGUACUUUGCAGAGAGAGUUAACAGGGCGUGAAACCGUUAAUUGGCAAACGAAUCGGAGCCACGAAGUCGUUUCGCUGAGUUGGGUUGAGUUCAGCCUAGAACCCUGGUUCUAGGUGUAUUCUUGGCCCGACCGUUGUAAGCGUACACUGCAACCAGUUAGACGAUUGAGGAUGGGCCCAGUCAAAUGCUCAAGUUAGAAGUAGUAUGGUACAUUUCGGUGUAUUCGUAUUGCUGGGCUUGUGGCAGGUGAACUAUCCUCAAAUACUGACUGGCAAAAUGAAAAUCGCGAGAGCGUUUUACAAAGUGCAGCUAAGUGUAUUGUUGCCUACGCAGCUGACCAUGGGGUCCUAAGCUCGGCAUUCUUGAAUUUAGGCUUGCUUGCUACCAGUGGGGCAACUCCUGGUGCUUGUAUAGAUCUAUCUAAUCGGGUGUUGACUUGAUUCUGUGUCGUUCAGUUGUGCUUUGAUAGGGUAGCCAUAUAACUUGGUUUGCAAUUAUUGGCAGUGAGUAGGUCGGCUUUCCGAACGACCCGUCUUGAAACACGGACCAAGGAGUCUAAUUAGGCAUCAAGUCGAUCGGUCUUGAAUAGGCCAGACUUGGGGUCUCCCCCAGAUUGAAGGCGUAGAGACAAUCAUGUGAUCGUUUGGGCAAUCCAGUCCUUACGCGCAACAUGUGCCUGUUCGUAUAGCAAUGUAGCAAUAAUUGCUGAGCGGAGCAAAGAGAUGUCUGAUUGGUACCCGAAAGAUGGUGAUGCCUGGGCAAGUUGAAGCCAGAGGAAACUCUGGUGGAGGACUGUAGCGAUUCUGACGUGCAAAUCGAUCGUCAGACCUGGGUAUAGGGGCGAAAGACUAAUCGAACCAUC